CAUCAGCUUCCCAAGCUGAAUACGGGGGUUCGAUUCCCCUCACCCGCUCCA
rnacentral:tRNA from 1 species